CUCUCGCGGUCGAAGGAGUCAGGAGGCGCUUUCUCCUCGCCCGUAUCUUCAAACUCGACUAUAGACUCACAUCGUUAAUUCUCCGAUAUUUUCCAACGAGAAGAACGUGUUGAGCUAUCAAGCCGCGUUGAUCGAGGUUUGAAAGGAAUUGAGAAACGCAAUUUCGUCGACAGUCGAUCAAAUCGAUUCGGUCAAUGAAAUCUCACUAAACUCGCGAUUUUUUUUAUCACUCAAAGUAUAUUAAUUUUUGACUCCAAAGUGCAACUUCGUUUUAUUGAAAUUAAUAAUCUACUCGUUCGGUUGAUGGAAUUCGGUAAAAAAUUGUUCUUCGUGUUGUAAGUAAGAGUUUUUGCCGAAAAUCAAUCGGUGAACCAGAGUGGAUUCGUUGCGGCAAUUGUGACACACCGUACGCGCAAGCUGGAUGAAAUAAAGGCCCGGGAAAGCAGGUAGUUAUACAAAAGGGUCCAGCUACAACGUUGUCACGUUUCAUGAGAAACUCUACGAGUGCAGGCCCUAAACAGCAACAGCGCCGGUAAUACGCAAGGGAGCGACGCGAUAAUAGGGCACCAAAUGUGUGCACGAUAGCCUGUAACGAUACAUAAGCCGAGAGACGUUUUCGAACAAUGACUAUGCUCUAAUAGAAAAUUCUGUAGUUUUCUACGGUUGCCGUUCACGUAAAGGAAAACCGAGAUAAAGGGUUUGAGACGAUUCGAGCGCAAUGAUACCAAGAUCGUGAACGCGGAAUAAUUUAUAAUAAACAAUGAGGUCUCUGAAUCGUUGCAUCGCUGAUCACGUCACGACUUCCGUUUGAAAUAGAUCGUUCGUACGAAUUUCGCGGGACUUUACGGUGUAUCGAUUGCUUUUAUUUGACGAUUACGAGAGUCAAAAAUGUCGCUCACCUCGACGGAAGACUGGAACGAAACUUUGAUUAUGCUAUUCAACUCGACUACGAUGGCACCUAAUAUUACCGGAGCGAAUGGUAGCGGACAAGAUACCAAGAGGCACGUGACCUUCGCUACUCAGGUGGUGCUCACCCUUGUGUACCUAACCGGUGUGAUCGGCAACGUGUCUGCUUUAGUCAUUUUGUUUCAUCGAGAUAAGAGGAGGAACCGAAAACACUUGCUGAUGCUUCGUUGCCUGGCGAUCAACGAUCUUGUUGCUUUGUUAGGGAUGUUGGUUCAGAUGUAUAUCACAAUUUAUGUCGGCAGCGUGAUAUCUACGAGAGGAUUUUGCUCCCUUCGCGUGGUGUGGAGACUAUUUGGCUUAUUCAGUGGUUGCGUCGCCAUCGUGAUGGCAGCCGAAAGGUGGCUAGCCUUGACCAGGCCCUUCGUUUAUCAGAAACAGGUGACGUAUCCGGUAAUUGUUCGUUGCAUGCUGGUGCUUUGGUUGGUCGCUCUGGCAUUGACGAGCUUUCCGGUUCUGGGUUUCGGUGUUUAUUACAAAGGUGAACGGUGUGUUCGAUACAGAGAGGCGACUGAACCAGCAGACAUAGCUUACGCCUACGUUUGGUUCUUUUUCGGUACCGUGCUCUGUCUGUCGAUAGUCUGGUGUAACCUGGCCGUUUCUAGAGCACUUAGCAGACUGAAUCGCAAGGCAGGUGCUCUACGGCGCGUAACAAGAUCCUCUUCAAGAGCGAAGCCUCUUUUGACGGUAACAGGUCCUCCGACGGAAGUCGUCACCACGGCAGAGGAAAGAGCAUUCGCCAGAUUAAUGGCCGUCCUAUCGAUAUCAUUCGUCAUUUGUUGGAUGCCGCAAAUGAUAUCCAUUCCACUGGCUCAGUUCUCUAUUCAUUUACCCAAAGAGGCGAUUCUCCAGCGAAGAUUAAUUCGUAUGUUCCACGUGGCGGCUGAUAUUCUUCUCUGUAUUCAUUUCACUUUGGAUCCGUACAUUUAUGUAUUGCUGAGAAUGUCACGACCGAGAUUCCGCAUCUUGAAACCGUUUUGCAAGAUCUGUUGGCCCGCCAGAAGUCGAUCGAAUUCGUUCAACGAGUCAGGUGAGAUACCUCAACACAACCAAUUUCCAGAUGUGGAGAACCUCAAGUUUUAAGAUCCAAUAAAUUAAUGGAACUAACAAGUUUGCGAACACCAAUGAUUAGAUACUGGAAGGUCUUACAGCUACCAGAAUGGAAGAGUCGCAGUACGGCACUGUUGUGCAAAGAAAUCCAGACUCCAAGACCACCUGAACUUGCCAUACAGGAAACUGAU
rnacentral:misc_RNA from 1 species